AGCGAACGCUGGCGGCAGGCCUAACACGUGCAAGUCGAACGAACCUUUCGGGGUUAGUGGCGGACGGGUGAGUAACACGUGGGAACGUGCCUUUAGGUUCGGAAUAACUCAGGGAAACUUGUGCUAAUACCGAAUGUGCCCUUCGGGGGAAAGAUUAAUCGCCUUUAGAGCGGCCCGCGUCUGAUUAGCUAGUUGGUUGAGGUAAUGGCUCACCAAGGCGACGAUCAGUAGCUGGUCUGAGAGGAUGAUCAGCCACAUUGGGACUGAGACACGGCCCAAACUCCUACGGGAGGCAGCAGUGGGGAAUCUUGCGCAAUGGGCGAAAGCCUGACGCAGCCAUGCCGCGUGAAUGAUGAAGGUCUUAGGAUUGUAAAAUUCUUUCACCGGGGACGAUAAUGACGGUACCCGGAGAAGAAGCCCCGGCUAACUUCGUG
rnacentral:rRNA from 1 species